UACAGAGGUCUCAAGCGUUGUUCGGAUUCAUUGGGCGUAAAGGGUGCGUAGGCGGCGCGGUAAGUCGGGUGUGAAAUUUCGAGGCUUAACUUCGAAACUGCAUUCGAUACUGCCGUGCUAGAGGACUGGAGAGGAGACUGGAAUUUACGGUGUAGCAGUGAAAUGCGUAGAGAUCAUGAGGAAGACCAGUGGCGAAGGCGGGUCUCUGGACAGUUCCUGACACUGAGACACGAAGGCCAGGGGAGCAAACGGG
rnacentral:rRNA from 1 species